rnacentral:lncRNA from 1 species
UCACAGAGAACAUGGUGAGGGAAGAUUAUAAGGUGCAAGAAGACUGAAAAGAUUCACAAAAUCUCAAGCCUGGAAGAAACUGAAGAGGCCAUCCCAUCCAGCUGAACCUCUGCCAGUAUGAGAACAUUCUCCAUAACAUUCCUGAGAAAUGGUCACCAAGGCUUUGCUUAAACAUCUCCAGAGAAAGAGAAUGCACUCCUUCCUGAGGCCACCCCGCUCUACUGUUGGGAAUCAAAGUCAAGCUAAGUGGUCCAUAACCUACAGACUCCACUCUCUUCAGGAUAAUGUGUGUUCACCAAUCUAAUGGUACCUCUCCUGUUCUCAAAGACCUUUUAAAAAUCACUGAUAAUGGUUUAGCAAUCACAUCUAACAAUGUGUUAAAAGUACCUCAGGAUGAAGGUCAUCUGGGCCAGGUGACUUGAACUUAUCAAGGGCAAAUAGAUAUUCCCAUCAACUUACAGAUCAUUGGGAACUUAUUAUUGGGAAUUUUUAUUCUUAUUCUUUU